AUUGAACGCUGGCGGCAUGCCUUACACAUGCAAGUCGAACGGUAACAGGUUAAGCUGACGAGUGACGAACGGGUGAGUAAUAUAUCGGAACGUGCCCAGUCGUGGGGGAUAACUGCUCGAAAGAGCAGCUAAUACCGCAUACGACCUGAGGGUGAAAGCGGGGGAUCGCAAGACCUCGCGCGAUUGGAGCGGCCGAUAUCAGAUUAGGUAGUUGGUGGGGUAAAGGCCUACCAAGCCUACGAUCUGUAGCUGGUCUGAGAGGACGACCAGCCACACUGGGACUGAGACACGGCCCAGACUCCUACGGGAGGCAGCAGUGGGGAAUUUUGGACAAUGGACGCAAGUCUGAUCCAGCCAUGCCGCGUGCGGGAAGAAGGCCUUCGGGUUGUAAACCGCUUUUGUCAGGGAAGAAAAGGUUCUGGUUAAUACCUGGGACUCAUGACGGUACCUGAAGAAUAAGCACCGGCUAACUACGUGCCAGCCGCCGCAGUAAAAC
rnacentral:rRNA from 1 species